rnacentral:rRNA from 1 species
AUACUAGCCCGGUGGACUAUGGUCGGCCGCUGGCUUCUAUGAGGGACUAUAAGCGUAUAGCGCUUGGAGGAUAAAGGCAAUAACAGGUCUGUGAUGCCCUUAGAUGUUCUGGGCCGCACGCGCGCUACACUGACCGAGGCAACGAGUGUAUCACCUGGCCCGAGAGGGAUUCUG